rnacentral:rRNA from 1 species
AUGUUUCCAUUUAGGUUCAAGAGGAAGCAGUUUCCAGUUAGACUUAGCUUUGCUAUGACCAUUAACAAGGCACAAGGACAAACUAUACCAAAUGUUGGUGUAUACCUCCCUGAACCGGUAUUUUCACACGGGCAGCUCUAUGUUGCUCUUUCUAGAGCUACAUCUAGAAGUAAUAUGAAGAUUCUUACUGUACUGGAUAAAAAAAGGAAGGCCAGUCCAACUCCACUGCAAAUAUUACAAAGAACAUAG